GGAAGGAUCAUUAACACAAAUGAUAUAACCUUUUUUUUAAUAUGUUAUUGAGAGUAGAAAUACUUUCAAUACAUUUUAAAAAAAAAUUACCACAAUGGAAAAUGUUAAAGUCUCUUACUAUUAUUAAUUUAUAUUAAUAAUAUGAGAGGAUAAAACUUUAUCAUAACUAUUAUAAAAAAACACUAAACCAAAAAAACAUUAUUUUUAUGAUUAUAUCUAAUAAUAUAAUCUAAAAUAAACACAACUUUUAGCGACGGAUCUCUAGGCUCAUGCAACGAUGAAGAACACAGCGAAAUGUGAUAAGUAAUGUGAAUUGCAGAUGUCUGUGAAUCAUCAAGUCUUUGAACGCAAGUUGCGCCACCAAAAGUGGCAUAUUUGUUGGAGUGAUGGUUAAAAUCUAAAACAAAAAAAGAUUUUCUUUUUCCUUUCAUAAGGAAAAAGGUAAUAAGAAUCUAAUGUUUAUUAGUUUCUUUCAAUUACAUUAUUAUUACUUUAAUAUUAACAAAGUAGAUAUUGUUGGAUAGUACUCUAUUUCUUUUCCUUUCUUAAUUUUAUUAAGAGGGAAGAGAGAAAAAAGUACAAUUAAUUCAAUAUCAAAAAGUUAGAAAGUUUUAAUAUAUCGGAACAUAUGUAGGUAUUAUUAAUAAUACCAUACAUCUUUAACAUCAUCCUCCAAUCAAAUAAGACUACCCCCUGAACUUAAGCAUAUUAAUAAGGGGAGGAAAAGAAACUAACUAGGAUUCCCUCAGUAAUGGCGAAUGAAGUGGGAAGAGCUCAGGUUUAAAAUCUGGCGGCAUCACGCCGUCCGAAUUGUAGUCUUUUGGACGUUCAUAGGAGUGGGCACUGGCGCAAGUCCGUUGGAAUGCGGCGCCUUAGAGGGUGAGAGCCCCGUAGUUAGCCAGCUGACUCGCUCCGUAAUUUGUGCGUUCGUAGAGUCGGGUUGUUUGGGAAUGCAGCCUUAACUGCGAGGUAAAUUCCUUGCAAAGCUAAAUACUGGCAUGAGACCGAUAGCGAACAAGUAGAGUGAUCGAAAGAUGAAAAGAACUUUGAAAAGAGGGUUAAAAGUACGUGAAAUCGCUAAAAGGGAAGCGAUUGGGUUCAGUAUGGGCGUGUGUCUAAAUCGGAUUUCGUGUGGGUAUAAGGGGUUCUGCAGAGGGUUGGUUUACACCGAUUCAUGCAGGGUUCAUGAAGCUCACGCCGAGGUCUUACUUUUGGCACGCGCUAGUCAGCAUCGGUUCGCUUUAGUUGGUGACAGAAAAGCUGGGGCAUGGUAGGCUGACUGCGGUCGGCUGAAUACCCUGGUCGAUGGUCACCUGGUGGACUGAGGUGGUAGAUAAAAUUCUACCAGCAUAGGGGGUGCCUCAAGGCAGGGCUCUGGCGUUCGCAGUGGUUGUCCGGGUGUAGUACUAGUGCAGUACUGCGCCCUGGCGGCUGCUCACGGGUGUCAAUCCGCUUACCCCCUCUUGAUGCUGACAAAAUGGGCUCAAUCGACCCGUCUUGAAACACGGACCAAGGAGUUCAGCAUAUGUGCGAGUAUUUGGGUGCGAAAAACCCAUGUGCGCAAUGAAAGUGAAGGCUGGUUCGGCCAGCUUAGGUGGGAAGACCACACGACGAGUGUGGUCGGCACCAUCGACCGGUCUGGAGAUACUUCGAAAGAUCUGAGUAAGAGCACAUCUGUUGGGACCCGAAAGAUGGUGAACUAUGCCUGCAUAGGGUGAAGCCAGAGGAAACUCUGGUGGAGGCUCGUAGCGAUACUGACGUGCAAAUCGUUCGUCAAAUGUGGGUAUAGGGGCGAAAGACUAAUCGAACCUUCUAGUAGCUGGUUCCCUC
rnacentral:misc_RNA from 1 species